GAUGAAGAACGUAGCGAAAUGCGAUAAGUAAUGUGAAUUGCAGAAUUCAGUGAAUCAUCGAAUCUUUGAACGCACCUUGCGCCCUUUGGCCAUUCCGAAGGGCAUGCCUGUUUGAGUAUCAUGAACACCUCAACUCUUCAUGGUUUUCCGUGAUGAGCUUGGACUUUGGGGGUCUUGCUGGCCUAUGGUCAGCUCCUCUAAAAUAAAUCAGCUUGCCAGUGUUUGGUGGGUAUCACAGGUGUGAUAACUAUCUACGCUUGUGGUUUUCCACCAGGUAACCGUCAGCAGUGGAGGUUCGCUGGAGCUCACAGAUGUGUCUCUCCUCAGUGAGGACAGCUCUUUGAAUGUUUGAUCUCAAAUCAGGUAGGACUACCCGCUGAACAUAAGCAUAUCAAUAAGCGGAGGA
rnacentral:misc_RNA from 1 species